GAUGAACGCUAGCUACAGGCUUAACACAUGCAAGUCGAGGGGAAACGAUAGAGAAAGCUUGCUUUUUCUAGGCGUCGACCGGCGCACGGGUGAGUAACGCGUAUCCAACCUGCCCACCACUUGGGGAUAACCUUGCGAAAGUAAGACUAAUACCCAAUGACGUCUCUAGAAGACAUCUGAAAGGGAUUAAAGAUUUAUCGGUGAUGGAUGGGGAUGCGUCUGAUUAGCUUGUUGGUGAGGUAACGGCUCACCAAGGCGACGAUCAGUAGGGGUUCUGAGAGGAAGGUCCCCCACAUUGGAACUGAGACACGGUCCAAACUCCUACGGGAGGCAGCAGUGAGGAAUAUUGGUCAAUGGGCGAGAGCCUGAACCAGCCAAGUAGCGUGCAGGAUGACGGCCCUAUGGGUUGUAAACUGCUUUUAUAAGGGAAUAAAGUGGGUCUCGUGAGACUUUUUGCAUGUACCUUAUGAAUAAGGACCGGCUAAUUCCGUG
rnacentral:rRNA from 1 species